GACGAACGCUGGCGGCGUGCUUAACACAUGCAAGUCGAGCGGUAAGGCCCUUUCGGGGGUACACGAGCGGCGAACGGGUGAGUAACACGUGGGUGACCUGCCUUUAGCUCUGGGAUAAGCCUGGGAAACUGGGUCUAAUACCGGAUAUGACUCCAUGAUGCAUGUUGUGGGGUGGAAAGCCUUGUGCGGCUGGAGAUGGGCCCGCGGCCUAUCAGCUUGUUGGUGGGGUGAGGCCUACCAAGGCGACGACGGGUAGCCGGCCUGAGAGGGCGACCGGCCACACUGGGACUGAGACACGGCCCAGACUCCUACGGGAGGCAGCAGUGGGGAAUCUUGCGCAAUGGGCGAAAGCCUGACGCAGCGACGCCGCGUGAGGGAUGACGGCCU
rnacentral:rRNA from 1 species